rnacentral:rRNA from 1 species
UACGUAGGCAGCGAGCGUUGUUCGGAAUUACUGGGCGUAAAGAGUGUGUAGGCGGUGCUCUAAGUUCGGUGUGAAAUCUCCUGGCUUAACUGGGAGGGUGCGCCGGAAACUGGAGUGCUCGAACGUGGGAGAGGAAAGCGGAAUUCCUGGUGUAGCGGUGAAAUGCGUAGAUAUCUGGAGGAGCACCGGUGGCGAAGGCGGCAUCCUGGACCAAUUCUGACGCUGAGGAGCGAAAGCCAGGGGAGCAAACGGG